rnacentral:rRNA from 1 species
AUUGAACGCUGGCGGCAUGCCUUACACAUGCAAGUCGAACGGUAACGCGGGGCAACCUGGCGACGAGUGGCGAACGGGUGAGUAACACAUCGGAACGUGCCCAGUAGUGGGGGAUAGCCCGGCGAAAGCCGGAUUAAUACCGCAUACGACCUAAGGGUGAAAGCAGGGGAUCGCAAGACCUUGCGCUAUUGGAGCGGCCGAUGUCAGAUUAGGUAGUUGGUGGGGUAAAAGCCUACCAAGCCGACGAUCUGUAGCUGGUCUGAGAGGACGACUAGCCACACUGGGACUGAGACACGGCCCAGACUCCUACGGGGAGGCAGCAGGUGGGGUAAUUUUGGACAAGUGGGCGACAAGCCUGAUCCAGCCAUGCCGCGUG